rnacentral:rRNA from 1 species
GCCCAGACUCCUACGGGAGGCAGCAGUGGGGAAUAUUGCACAAUGGGGGGAACCCUGAUGCAGCGACGCCGCGUGGGUGAAGGAGUACUUCGGUACGUAAAGCCCUAUCAGCAGGAAAGAAAAUGACGGUACCUGACUAAGAAGCCCCGGCUAACUACGUGCCAGCAGCCGCGGUAAUACGUAGGGGGCAAGCGUUAUCCGGAUUUACUGGGUGUAAAGGGAGCGUAGACGGCAGUGCAAGUCUGAAGUGAAAGGCGGGGGCCCAACCCCCGGACUGCUUUGGAAACUGUGCUGCUGGAGUGCAGGAGAGGCAAGUGGAAUUCCUAGUGUAGCGGUGAAAUGCGUAGAUAUUAGGAGGAACACCAGUGGCGAAGGCGGCUUGCUGGACUGUAACUGACGUUGAGGCUCGAAAGCGUGGGGAGCAAACAGGAUUAGAUACCCCGGUAC